rnacentral:rRNA from 1 species
UACGGGGGGGGCAAGCGUUGUUCGGAAUUACUGGGCGUAAAGGGCUUGUAGGUGGCCAACUAAGUCAGACGUGAAAUCCCUCGGCUUAACCGGGGAACUGCGUCUGAUACUGGAUGGCUAGAGUGUGGGAGAGGGAUGCGGAAUUCCAGGUGUAGCGGUGAAAUGCGUAGAUAUCUGGAAGGAACACCGGUGGCGAAGGCGGCAUCCUGGACCACGACUGACACUGAAAAGCGAAAGCCAGGGGAGCAAACGGG